UACGUAGGAGACGAGCGUUGUCCGGAAUUACUGGGCGUAAAGAGCGUGUAGGCGGCCAGGUGGGUCUGCUGUGAAAACUCGAGGCUUAACCUCGAGAUGUCGGCGGAAACCAUCUGGCUAGAGUCCGGAAGAGGAGAGUGGAAUUCCUGGUGUAGCGGUGAAAUGCGCAGAUAUCGAGGAGGAACACCGGUGGCGAAGGCGGGUCUCUGGGCCGAAUGACUGACGCUGAGGAGCGAAAGCGUGGGGGAGCGAACAGG
rnacentral:rRNA from 1 species